AACGAACGCUGGCGGCAUGCCUAACACAUGCAAGUCGAACGAUGCCUUCGGGCAUAGUGGCGCACGGGUGCGUAACGCGUGGGAAUCUGCCCUUGGGUUCGGAAUAACUCAGAGAAAUUUGAGCUAAUACCGGAUGAUGACGUAAGUCCAAAGAUUUAUCGCCCAAGGAUGAGCCCGCGUAAGAUUAGCUAGUUGGUGGGGUAAAGGCCUACCAAGGCGACGAUCUUUAGCUGGUCUGAGAGGAUGAUCAGCCACACUGGGACUGAGACACCGGCCCAGACUCCGUACGGGAGGCAGCAGGUGGGGAAUAUUGGAACAAGUGGGACGAAAGCCUGAUCCAGCAAUGCCGCGUGAGUGAUGAAGGCCUUAGGGUUGUAAAGCUCUUUUACCAGGGAUGAUAAUGACAGUACCUGGAGAAUAAGCUCCGGCUAACUCCGUG
rnacentral:rRNA from 1 species